AGUGUGCAAACACCAAGGUUGUUGACUGUCGGGGGCUCAGAGCCUGUGUGGAGAAGCGUGGCCCACAGUUUUAUGCAUCUAAACGUGAUCAACACUUGUUCUGUUGCCAAGAAGAAAACGUGGAUAUCAGUCCUGGUGACUCUGGUGGAGGAGUGGUGUACAAUGACAUGAUUUACGGCGUCAUUUCUUUCCAUGGCAAUGACUGUGUUGAAGCAGCUGCAGUGAUGGACGGCUGUGGAUACAAAGAGUGGAUCAUACGCAAAACUGGCAGUAUCUUCACUAAAAAGGUCAAAACGUUGCCAUGUUUUGGCCGUUUUUAACUGUAAAAUGUCCUGCCAUUUAACAGACAUUUCCAUCGAUUGGUUCACAUUAAAUGUUCAGCUGUUACUUGUAAAACCCUUUAAGACAAAAAAUGUCAUGAUUCUGCAACAUAGCUUCACAAGGUAGUGUCUAAGUUUCUAAUUCAACAGAUUUUCUAUGUUACCAUACAUUGUGUAGAAAAUCUUCAAAGGGACAAACACUACAGUCUGCUGCUUUUUAAACAAUGCUGAUAAAAAUGAUAAAUGACUUUUCUCUCACAAGAUUGUGUCUGUUAAAAUAAAAUUACAAUGCAUCACAAUCAUUGUUUAA